rnacentral:ncRNA from 2 species
UAUUGGUGAAAGGAAUCAUGAACGUGAGGAUGCUUUGGUUGUGUCGAUUUUCUCGUGUAUUUCUUUACACAAGAUAAGAGGCCAACUUCACGUCCAUUGUCCCUUUCACUACUGC